CAGUAGCCGCGGGAAUACGGAGGGUGCUAGCGUUGUUCGGAAUCACUGGGCGUAAAGGGCGCGUAGGCGGCCUGUUAAGUCGGAUGUGAAAGCCCGGGGCUCAACCCCGGAACUGCAUCCGAGACUGGCAGGCUUGAGACCGGGAGAGGAGGGUGGAAUAUCCAGUGUAGAGGUGAAAUUCGUAGAUAUUGGAUGGAACACCGGUGGCGAAAGCGGCUCUCUGGCCCGGAUCUGACGCUGAGGCGCGAAAGCGUGGGGAGCAAACAGGAUUAGAUACCCAAGUAGUCCCUGUCUCUUAUAU
rnacentral:rRNA from 1 species